CUUACAUCAUUUUACGCGGGCCAGAUCAUUUUUUAUCGAAAGCAGACAACAACGGAUCAGUGUUAUUUAUAUUACAUAUGAAAAAUGACGGAAUCGAAGGAAAGACGCCAUGUUAUAAAUUUUUCUCCAGGCCCAGCAAAGUUGCCCGAUGAGGUGUUGCUUCAGGCCCAGAAAGACUUCCUCAAUUAUGCGGGGACAGGUGUAAGUGUCAUGGAGCUCAGUCACAGAUCUCCAGAGUUUGAGAAGAUCCUUAAAACUGCAGAGACAGAUUUGAGGGCCUUGCUGUCCAUCCCUGCCAACUACAAGGUGCUGUUCCUGCAGGGCGGGGGUAAUGGCCAGUUCAGUGCUGUCCCCUUCAACCUUAUGAAUCUCAAACCCAGCCAGACUGCUGACUACAUCGUCACAGGGACCUGGUCGGCAAAUGCUGCCACAGAGGCUCAAAAAUACGGAAAAGUCAAUUAUGUUCUACCAAAAACAAAAACCUACACAAAUAUACCAGACCUGUCAGAGUGGAAACUGAGUCCAGAUGCUUCCUACGUGUACUACUGUGAUAAUGAAACCAUCCACGGCGUUGAGUUCCAGUUUAUACCAGAGACACAUGGUGUGCCGCUAGUCUGUGAUAUGUCGUCCAAUAUACUCACUCGAAAGUUUGAUGUCUCAAAGUUUGGCCUCAUCUUUGCUGGAGCCCAGAAGAACAUCGGCUGUGCUGGCUGUACUGUAGUCAUCAUACGAGAGGAUCUCAUUGGUCAGGCUCUUCCUUCCACACCCUCAGUGUUCUGCUACACUACGCAGUCCGCAAAUAACUCAUUGUUCAAUACACCACCCACAUAUAGUAUAUAUAUCAUGGGGUUAGUUUUCUCCUGGAAGUUGGAACAUGGGGGCGUAGAAGGCAUGGAGGAAAACUCGAGGAAAAAGUCAGACUUGAUCUAUGAUGUGAUGGACAAUUCCAGUGGAUUUUUUGUUGGUCCGAUCAACAAAAACUGUCGCAGCCGAACGAAUGUGACAUUCAGAAUUGGGUCAAGGGAAGGGUGCGAUGUUCUAGAGAAGAAAUUCUUGGAUAUGGCUUCCAAGUGUGGAAUGAAAGAAUUAAAGGGACAUAGGUCUGUUGGUGGUAUCCGUGCCUCGCUGUACAAUGCAGUCACUGCUGAAGAAACCAAAGUUCUGGCAGACUUCAUGAAAGACUUCUUUGAGACACACAGAAAUUAACCGGACUCUGCCUUUAAAGAUGAAUUGUAUAUUUUAAAUAGGGCAUAUCUUGCAACUUUGUGAUGAGCCACUUGAAAUUGCAUAGCUAGAUAAAUCUCAAUAAAUGGAAGUGCAUGAACAAUAGCCAUAAGUUUACUCCUGCUUUCAUAAUUUCAUAGCAAUUUUUCUUGUGAAAUUUUGUUUAGGCUAAUUGUAAUUAUUAUACGAGUUAUCUUGGCAAACACCUACAGCAAAUCUUAACUAGUCAACAACUUGUAUGAUAUCUUUUAAAAUGUAUGAUAUGCACAUUUUUGAUAAUACUCACUCUAAAUUAAAAAAAUCUGAUUAAAAAUCAUGCUUAAAAUAUAACUAUCAUCAACUGUGUAUAUUUUUAAUGACCUUAAAAAGGCAUUCUGCUCUCAGAGCUUAAAGUAUAUUAUAUAUCAUUACAGAUGUAUUCCCUGUUUGACAGUGUGUUCUUAUGUAAAGGGUCCACAUUCAUUUUGGUAUGCUAUGGUGACUGUAGCUAUAUACUCGUUAUGAAUAUUCCGUCACAAACGACGCAAACAUUUUUUCGAACUUGUUGGAGGAGGUGUUGUGAUGUUUUGUUGGUGGAAUUUAGAACAGCUUUUCUGCUCUGAUAUUAACAUGAAAGAAUCUCUUGUCAGUGAUGAGUCGUUUUUUUGCAUGCACCAUUAAAUUUCUCAUGGAUGUUUCAGAUGAUUUUUACAUGUUUUGUGAUUUGAACAAUUAUUGUGUUAUGCUGUACAGCUGUAUUUCUUAUUUUAUUCAGUUUUAAUACUUGGCUUUUAAUUGAUAUAGCAGACAUGGUGUACAAAGAUAUUUUUUGGAAGCUGCAGAUUUGAUGUAGAUUUUAAAUUAUGCUCAGAUCAAGAUAUUUUUAAACAUUAUUUUUAUCAUCUAUUUAUCCCUCAAUUCAGACAUGGAUGUGAUAUUGUUGCCUGUAACGUUUUGUGUGAUGUAUAAUGUUGCAUUUUACUGCGUUAUAUAGAUUUCAAUGUUAAUUUCUGUUCAGGUUUAGGUUACUAUGCAGAUAUUUUGUUGUAUUCAUGUUUCAAUUGUUUCAAACUUUAAAACAUUCAUUGACAAAAUUGCUAGGGAAGAUAAAUAUAGAUCUAGUUGAAAUGAUAUUUUUUGCAGAGCAUAUACAACAUAAAAGUUUAAAAUUCUAUAAUGACAUUAACGUUUGUCCUUCAAUAAUGCUUUUAACUUUUGUGUUUAAAACAUGAAACAUGUAUGAAAUGUUGGCAUAAUCUGCCGUUCGGUUGAAAAGUAUGCAUAGAUUAAUAAAGUGAUGGCGAAACAUG